rnacentral:rRNA from 1 species
CGCGGCCUAUCAGCUUGUUGGUGGGGUAGUGGCUUACCAAGGCUUUGACGGGUAGCCGGCCUGAGAGGGUGACCGGCCACAUUGGGACUGAGAUACGGCCCAGACUCCUACGGGAGGCAGCAGUGGGGAAUAUUGCACAAUGGGCGGAAGCCUGAUGCAGCAACGCCGCGUGCGGGAUGACGGCCUUCGGGUUGUAAACCGCUUUCGCCUGUGACGAAGCGUGAGCGACGGUAAUGGGUAAAGAAGCACCGGCUAACUACGUGCCAGCAGCCGCGGUGAUACGUAGGGUGCGAGCGUUGUCCGGAUUUAUUGGGCGUAAAGGGCUCGUAGGUGGUUGAUCGCGUCGGAAGUGUAAUCUUGGGGCUUAACCCUGAGCGUGCUUUCGAUACGGGUUGACUUGAGGAAGGUAAGGGAGAAUGGAAUUCCUGGUGGAGCGGUGGAAUGCGCAGAUAUCAGGAGGAACACCAGUGGCGAAGGCGGUUCUCUGGGCCUUUCCUGACGCUGAGGAGCGAAAGCGUGGGGAGCGAACAGGCUUAGAUACCCUGGUAGUCCACGCUGUAAACGGUGGGUACUAGGUGUGGGGUCCAUUCCACGGGUUCCGCGCCGUAGCUAACGCUUUAAGUACCCCGCCUGGGGAGUACGG